rnacentral:rRNA from 1 species
GAUGAACGCUGGCGGCGUGCUUAACACAUGCAAGUCGAACGGGAAAUAUUUCAUUGAGACUUCGGUGGAUUUGAUCUAUUUCUAGUGGCGGACGGGUGAGUAACGCGUGGGUAACCUGCCUUAUACAGGGGGAUAACAGUCAGAAAUGGCUGCUAAUACCGCAUAAGCGCACAGAGCUGCAUGGCUCAGUGUGAAAAACUCCGGUGGUAUAAGAUGGACCCGCGUUGGAUUAGCUUGUUGGUGGGGUAACGGCCCACCAAGGCGACGAUCCAUAGCCGGCCUGAGAGGGUGAACGGCCACAUUGGGACUGAGACACGGCCCAGACUCCUACGGGAGGCAGCAGUGGGGAAUAUUGCACAAUGGGGGAAACCCUGAUGCAGCGACGCCGCGUGAAGGAAGAAGUAUCUCGGUAUGUAAACUUCUAUCAGCAGGGAAGA